rnacentral:siRNA from 1 species
GUUCUACCUGAUCUUGUUGGGCA